AUUGAACGCUGGCGGCAGGCCUAACGCAUGCAAGUCGAGCGGAUGAAGGGAGCUUGCUCCUGGAUUCAGCGGCGGACGGGUGAGUAAUGCCUAGGAAUCUGCCUGGUAGUGGGGGAUAACGUCCGGAAACGGGCGCUAAUACCGCAUACGUCCUGAGGGAGAAAGUGGGGAUCUUCGGACCUCACGCUAUCAGAUGAGCCUAGGUCGGAUUAGCUAGUUGGUGGGGUAAAGGCCUACCAAGGCGACGAUCCGUAACUGGUCUGAGAGGAUGAUCAGUCACACUGGAACUGAGACACGGUCCAGACUCCUACGGGAGGCAGCAGUGGGGAAUAUUGGACAAUGGGCGAAAGCCUGAUCCAGCCAUGCCGCGUGUGUGAAGAAGGUCUUCGGAUUGUAAAGCACUUUAAGUUGGGAGGAAGGGCAGUAAGUUAAUACCUUGCUGUUUUGACGUUACCAACAGAAUAAGCACCGGCUAACUUCGUG
rnacentral:rRNA from 1 species